rnacentral:tRNA from 1 species
UAUUAAGUAGCUUAAGAUUUAAAGUAUAGUUUUGAAGCAACUAAGAUGUUUGAUUACCUUAAUGU